GUCGCCUNUUUAUCAAAAAACAUNUCCUUUUUGAAUAUAAUUUAAGGUCUGACCUGCCCACUGAGUAAUCUUGAAGGGCCGCGGUAUUUUGACCGUGCAAAGGUAGCAUAAUCAUUAGUCUUUUAAUUGGAGGCUAGAAUGAAUGGUUGGACGAGGUAUUGGCUGUCUCUUUAUAAGUGAAAGUAGAAUUUACCUUUUGAGUGAAAAGGCUCAAAUAUAAUUAGAGGACGAGAAGACCCCAUAGAGCUUUAUAAUUAAUUUUUAUAGUUUAUUUAGUUGAUUUUUUACUAUAGAUUAAAAAUUAUUUUGUUGGGGUGACAGGAAGAUAUAAUAAACUCUUUUUAAUUUAAACCAUUUAUUUAUGAAUUUUUGAUCCAUUUUUAGUGAUUAUAAGUCUAAGUUACCUUGGGGAUAACAGCGUAAUCUUUCUUGAGAGUUCAUAUCGACAGGAAGGGUUGCGACCUCGAUGUUGGAUUAAGGGUAAUUUUGGGUGUAGAUGUUCAAAGUUUAGGUCUGUUCGACCUUUGAAUCCUUACAUG
rnacentral:rRNA from 1 species